AGGACGAACGCUGGCGGCGUGCUUCACACAUGCAAGUCGAACGGGGCUCAUUCGGUGGUAACACCGGAGAAGGCCUAGUGGCGAACGGGUGCGUAACACGUGAAGAACCUGCCCCGAAGACUGGGAUAACAGCGGGAAACCGCUGCUAAUACCGGAUGACCCCACCAGGCCGCAUGGCCAGGUGAGGAAAUGGGCCUACCGCUUCGGGAGGGCUUCGCGGCCUAUCAGCUUGUUGGUGGGGUAACGGCCUACCAAGGCUACGACGGGUAGCUGGUCUGAGAGGACGACCAGCCACACUGGGACUGAGACACGGCCCAGACUCCUACGGGAGGCAGCAGUGGGGAAUCUUGCGCAAUGGGCGAAGGCCUGACGCAGCAACGCCGCGUGAGGGAUGAAGGUCUUCGGGUUGUAAACCUCUUUCGAGCAGGGACGAUUGUGACGGUACCUGCAGAAGAAGCUCCGGCCAACUACGUGCCAGCAGCCGCGGU
rnacentral:rRNA from 1 species